UAUAGCUCAGCUGGGAGAGCGCUUGCAUGGCAUGCAAGAGGUCACCGGUUCGAUCCCGGUUA
rnacentral:tRNA from 1 species